GACGAACUGCCCUAACGUUGUUCGGAAUCACUGGGCAUAAAGGGCGCGUAGGCGGCGAAUCAAGUCAGGGGUGAAAUCCGGCAGCUCAACUGUCGAAGUGCCUUUGAUACUGAUUUGCUCGAGGGAGGUAGGGGUCUGUGGAACUUCUGGUGGAGCGGUGAAAUGCGUUGAUAUCAGAAGGAACGCCGGUGGCGAAAGCGACGGACUGGACCUUUUCUGACGCUGAGGCGCGAAAGCUAGGGGAGCAAACGGG
rnacentral:rRNA from 1 species